rnacentral:rRNA from 1 species
CUCAGGAUGAACGCUAGCGGCAGGCUUAACACAUGCAAGUCGAGGGGCAGCGGGGAGGAAGCUUGCUUUCUCCGCCGGCGACCGGCGCACGGGUGAGUAACACGUAUGCAACCUGCCCCUGUCAGGGGGACAACCCGCCGAAAGGCGGGCUAAACCCGCGUACAUGCCACCGGGGCAUCCCGGAGGCAGGAAAGGCUUCGGCCGGACAGGGAUGGGCAUGCGGCGCAUUAGGCAGUAGGCGGGGUAACGGCCCACCUAACCGACGAUGCGUAGGGGUUCUGAGAGGAAGGUCCCCCACACUGGUACUGAGACACGGACCAGACUCCUACGGGAGGCAGCAGUGAGGAAUAUUGGUCAAUGGUCGGGAGACUGAACCAGCCAAGCCGCGUGAGGGAGGAAGGUACAGAGUAUCGUAAACCUCUUUUGUCAGGGAACAAAGGCGGGGACGUGUCCCCGGAUGAGUGUACCUGAAGAAAAAGCAUCGGCUAACUCCGUGCCAGCAGCCGCGGUAAUACGGAGGAUGCGAGCGUUAUCCGGAUUUAUUGGGUUUAAAGGGUGCGCAGGCGGUCUGUUAAGUCAGCGGUCAAAGCCCGGGGCUCAACCCCGGCCCGCCGUUGAAACUGGCAGUCUCGAGUUGGAGAGAAGUAUGCGGAAUGCGCGGUGUAGCGGUGAAAUGCAUAGAUAUCGCGCAGAACUCCGAUUGCGAAGGCAGCAUGCCGGCUCCACACUGACGCUGAGGCACGAAAGCGUGGGUAUCGAACAGGAUUAGAUACCCUGGUAGUCCACGCAGUAAACGAU